CCUGGGUCUGGCUGGAGGUGGCUUGCUGGGCCUCCCCUCCACAGGGGGAAUGUGCACAAGUCUGCUCCAUUAUUCACACUGGAUUAGGGUCCCCCGGGUGCCUAGUCUGAGUCUCCUGUAGGAUCCAGGCAGGAGCGUCUGUAAUUACAUCUCCCUCCUGCUUCCCACCGCCGAGCCUGCUUGGCUCGGGCCUGGUUGCAUCAUGUCUGUGGGAGCCCCGGGGGAGACGGGGGACAGGGAGUGAGCCAGAGAUGAGCUAGGGUGUGGAGGAGGAGCGGGGAGAGAAGCUGGGCAGGAAGGAGCUAGAAGGAUUCCAGAAUUCACAGAUCCUGCAUCCUCAUAGCUCAGAACCUGAAAUGCAAAGGAAUCUAGGAUCCCAGGACCUCCGAGGGCUGGAAUUCCAGCAUCUUUCAAUCCUAUGGGGCCAAGAUCCUGGGGUCCUGCGCCCUAGGAUUCCAGAGCUCGGCAUAUCAGGAGAAGUGUAAGGAGUUCCUGAGCCUAGGCUCUUGGGAGCUAGAUCCUUCGAGCGCUGGAAUGUCGGAGCUGCGUAGUGCAAACCCUUCCUCCUUCCCAUCCCUGGUCUUGGGGGACAGAAACUAUGGAGAUGUAAGCUUUUGAAUGGGACCUGGGUUGGGGGAAGGGAGGGCCGGCGGGAGUGGGACACAGAGGGGACCAGCAGGAGGUGUCUUUCUGGAGGAAGAGGAGGAUGGGGAACUGGGGCUGGGGGAAGGAGAAGCCAGGAGUCACAAUCCAGAAGGGACAGGGCAGGUCCCCGUGUGCCCAUCCUCCAUGAGAACAGAUCCGAAUAAUCUUAUUAGAUUUACCGCCUCGUAGCAGCACCAGCUUCUGGUCACCAGCUGCUGCUUCCUGCCACCCCCAGAGGUGAAGUCAGCUCUGGGGCCAGGCCCAGGCUGGGGUCAGAGACAGGCCAGGAGGUAGAGGUGGCUGCAGGGCGAGGUGCUUGUUCCUCCAGACCCCAAGGGCUCUCAGCUGCCCUAUUCCAGGCUGUCUUCCCUCUGCACCCCCAUCGCAAACUGCACCUCAACCCAGGCGCUCAGAGCAGCGCAUGGCCUGGCUGAAGGGGUAGGGCAGGGGACGGAAAGCUCAGAGCCAGCAGGAGCUGCAGUCUUGGCCAUCACUUCCUAGGGGAACGGUUCAACAGUCCCAUCUUGCUCAAUGCUCACAGUAGCCUUCAAGGGGACUCUGUUUAUCCCCAUUUUACAGACAAAGAAAACAGGCCUGGGGCCCAGCGCAGUGGCUUAUGCCUGUAAUCCCAGAACUCUGGAAGGCCAAGGCAGGCGGAUCAUUUGAGGUCAGGAGUUCAAGACCAGCCUGGCCAACAUGGUGAAACCCUGUCUCUACUAAAAAUACAAAAAUUAGCUGGGCAUGGUGGCGCGCACCUGUAAUCCCCGCUACUCGGGACAGUGAGGCACGAGAAUCGCUUGAACCCAGGAGGCAGAGGUUGCAGUGAGCCGAGAUUGCACCAGUGCACUCCAGCCUGAGGACAGAGCAAGACUCCAUCUCAAAAAGAAAGAAAGAAAAAUAGGCCCAUCCUGGCUAACACGGUGAAACCCCGUCUCUACUAAAAAAUACAAAAAACUAGCCGGGCAAGGUGGCGGGCGCCUGUAGUCCCAGCUACUCGGGAGGCUGAGGCAGGAGAAUGGCGGGAACCCGGGAGGCGGAGCUUGCAGUGAGCUGAGAUCCGGCCACUGCACUGCAGCCUGGGUGACAGAGUGAGACUCCGUCUCAAAAAAAAAAAAAAAAAAAAA
ensembl:lncRNA